AACGAACGCUGGCGGCAGGCUUAACACAUGCCAGUCGAACGCCCCGCCAGGGGAGUGGCAGACGGGUGAGUAACGCGUGGGAACAUACCCUUUCCUGCGGAAUAGCUCCGGGAAACUGGAAUUAAUACCGCAUACGCCCUACGGGGGAAAGAUUUAUCGGGGAAGGAUUGGCCCGCGUUGGAUUAGCUAGUUGGUGGGGUAAAGGCCUACCAAGGCGACGAUCCAUAGCUGGUCUGAGAGGAUGAUCAGCCACAUUGGGACUGAGACACGGCCCAAACUCCUACGGGAGGCAGCAGUGGGGAAUAUUGGACAAUGGGCGCAAGCCUGAUCCAGCCAUGCCGCGUGAGUGAUGAAGGCCUUAGGGUUGUAAAGCUCUUUCACCGAUGAAGAUAAUGACGGUAGUCGGAGAAGAAGCCCCGGCUAACUUCGUG
rnacentral:rRNA from 1 species